ensembl:lncRNA
GGAACAUGGAGCUAAUGCUAAUUUAAUAUGUUCUGUCAGAAAACCCUCACCACCUGCAGCAUGCUGUGGUCCAGUUAUUAGAUCAUAUUGUCCACUUGUCAUGAUAACAGACAUGUUCAGCUCAACAAUGGACUUCUUAUGACAGCUAUAAAGAGGGCAGGACCGGGUCAGACCUCCAGUCAGACGUGGAAGUGUCUGGGAAAAGACCACCAAGGAGGAGUGUCCGGACCCCCUGGAGAUAAGGAGCAUUGAUUGUUUGACUCAGAGGAUGUGUGACACACCACCCAAACACAUUCUUCCACCUGCCCCUACUGUUAACUUCCCCACAGUCACCCCAAACACCAUUUUCAUCCCUGUUCCCACCACCACUUUACCACCAGCAGCAGCACAUGGCUCAUUCAUAGAGAUGCUGCAGAACUGGCAGCCGAUGGACGAUAUGCCAUGUGAGUGUAUUUUUCUGCUUUCUGAUUGACUUUCUUUUGUAGGUAUUAAAUUUGUAGAACAUUUUUCCUCACUUCCCUUAACACAGUGUUCUCUUGUUGUGCUGACGGGUUGUUAGACUUUAUGAGGGGGCUCCCAGUAAUCAUCAGAACCAGGUCGGGCCAACUGUGAUUUCUGCUCAGCCAUCUUACUGGUAUUUGUAUAGGUUAGGAAUGAGACUAAGGAUGGAGUUGUAUAGUUUUGUAGUGUGUAUCAUUUUUAAAUAUUGUUAACUUCUUUAUCAUAGCCUUGCUGAGGGUGGUGUUAAAUUAGUGACUAAAUUAGUGAUGGUGCUGGACCAACAAACCACUGAGAUCGCUUCAACUGCAGGAAGUCCAGGUGCAGCCUUUGGAUAUUGAUGAAGAAUUACUGCCCUUGCAAGACCUUCCUCAACUGUGUAGACUGGAGCAAAUGAUGCAAUAGAGCCCAGAUUACAAGCAAAAACUGGUGAGAAUUUUUUUUUUCUUUCUUUAACAAUUGCUUGCACAAUUACACAUAUACUGAGAGUGUUACUUUUUUUCUCAAAAUGAGACACUCAUACUCAAAGCACAACAUUCAACACCACUUUGAUAUGAGGGAACAGUUAUGACCUAAUCUUUAUCAGGAACCAAGCAACCAUAAAGUCAGAUUUUUAAUUUCAUUGCAUUAUUUACAACUUGAUAUUAUGGAGUCGAGUGUAAUGUAAAAUCAAAUGACAGCUUUAACUUUAAUUGCGGAAAGACCAUGGUAAAACUAGGAUAAGCCAUGGCUAGGUGUGCAUUAAACGAUUUGAACGAGUGGUUCUUUGCCUCCACAUCAUGCAUUAAAAUCGUUUAAUGCACACCUAGCCGUGGAUUACUCCUUACAUAUCAUCUGAGAGAGACAGAUAACUCUGUAUGUAAACAGAUAUACUUACCAAUUACGACCUCUGCGAGUUGGAGAGUGACCAGUGAAGUCUUUACAUUGACUCCCCUCCAAUGGAGGUUCUUUGCCAAUGAGUUGGCAAUCACCCUCUUCAAUAUGUGCCAGGUGCAGUCGCGCACAUGUGCCCCGUCAAUAAGCGCCAACCAGUUUACCUGAAACCGAUUUUUAAAAAACAAUAAUAUAAUAUAAAAAUUAAUAAGCAUGUAUUUCCUCAUCACCUAUGUCAGUGCUUCUCACUACGCCUGCAGUUACCCUGCCCUGUGUUUUCCAUGUUUUCCUCCUCUACCAAAGAUAAGGUUCCUUUAUACAAUGUCUUGGCCUCCCCUAGAUAGUUCUAAACACUAGUUUUAAUUUUCACCUUUGUACCCCUUAAAAUGGAUUAGUAGUUAAAAACUUUUUAUUCUUGUCUUACCUUGAGAUGAGCCUCCUAGGGAAGAGUCAACAUCUGUGAACGGAAAAAUAAAAUACUAUAACAAGCAGUAGUUGUGCUUGGUCUACAUGAAAUGAAUCAAACCUCAAUGGACAUGCUGGUAGACUGAGGUUGAUGCUCAUACCAUCUGGGGUGCCUAGAGGUUCCUCAACAGGUCGCCUAGCUCUGUUCAUUCCUGUGGUAUGAAUAGUAUAGCUCAAUAUAAAGUUUCUGGUGUCACAUGUUCAUACACAAACUGUUCUACACCUUUAAGGUGAAACUGUAAAUCUCUAGCAAGAUAUCCUCCACAUCCCAAACAAAAACAGUUAAAACUGAAAGGUCUAAUUUUGUUGGGUAGUGAUUUGGUUGAUGCUUUACUUUGUGAAAUUUGUUGUCAAGGUACAGUAUAAGUCAGCUUAUUUUUGUGGUAUGUCUAUGACAAGUGCAAUAAGCAGAUGAACCUCAGCCUAUUAACAGUCAAGAUACUUUAAAUUUACUUGGCACAUAUUGACCAUAUUACUAAGUUUAACAAUGACCAUAUUGCUUCAGUAACAGGUGUGUAUAUCUGAACUAUUGUAUAAUACUUUUGUACAUCAUAUGGUACACUCAUGUUGACUUUAAUGAAUUGAUGAUUGUAUGUUUGUGCUUUUACCCAUUUCUGUUGGUGUCUGUGGAUAUGUCUCCUCAUCAUCAGUGUCUUCACUUUGCUCAGAAUCAGUCAAGUCUAUGUUCUCUAACAAAAUAUAAACAUUUUGACCAUCGGAAAAGUUGAACAUUGCAAAUGUUAGAGUAAAAAAAAUUAACAAUAAUCAUGCUGAAAUUUGAUGAAUAUUAAAUAUUAUUGAAUAAUAAAAAUUUAAGGUUUGUAUGCAAGGGAUUAUCUUUAGGCUAGGA